rnacentral:rRNA from 2 species
GUUGACCUCGGAUCAGGUAGGGAUACCCGCUGAACUUAAGCAUAUCAAUAAGCGGAGGAAAAGAAACCAACAGGGA